rnacentral:tRNA from 1 species
CAAAUUAGAGCUUUUAUAAGUGUUUUAUUUACAAUAAAAAGGUUAGUUGAUUUUCAAUUUAAUUUGA